UACGGGGGGGGCAAGCGUUGUUCGGAAUUACUGGGCGUAACGGGCUCGUAGUCGGCCAACUAAGUCGGAUGUGAAAUCCCCAGGCUCAACUUGGGAACUGCAUCCGAUACUGGAUGGCUUGAAUUCGGGAGAGGGAUGCAGAAUUCCAGGUGUAGCGGUGAAAUGCGUAGAUAUCUGGAGGAAUACCGGUGGCGAAGGCGGCAUCCUGGACCGACAUUGACGCUGAGGAGCGAAAGCUAGGGGAGCAAACGGG
rnacentral:rRNA from 1 species